UUAGGUCACAAUAGAUGUGGAACUGUCAAAACUGUUGCGAAAUUUUCAAUAAACUAACAAAAGCUAAUUAAAUAUCAAAAUGGAUCCAACUUUCUUUUAUUAUUUGAGCUCUAGUGAAGGUGAUGGGGAUAAAAAAAAUAGUGCGGAGAUAGCUAAGAGAUCGUAGCAAUAGCGUAGAUGAAUGGUUGAACAAAGCAUUGGAAUCUUAAAAAGACGGUGGACAAUUUUAGGAUAUAGCAAGAGAGGAAGGAAUUACUCCACAAAAGUGGAAGAUUUGCUAACGUUUGUGAGGCAUUACAUAACAUCUGCAUAAAAUAUAUAAUAAGUUAAGACCCUUAAAAAAGCGAUUCUUAACACACACAAGAAAUGGACACCGGGGUAGCGAACCUCUUCACCGCAAUCGACCAAACGAUAAGAGAUCAAAUAAAGUAUUAUUUAAUAAAUUUAAUUCAAAAAUGUAUGUGUAUGUCCUUAACCUUGUAAAUAAUUUUAUUUUUAUUGUCAACUAAAAUACAAAUAAUUUGUUUAUAUAAAUAAUUUUUUUUUUUUUUUAAUGAGAUAUUCCAUUCAUUGGUUUCUUGUUUAUGUUCUUUAUUACUAAAAAUUAUAGAACACUUCAAAUUUAAAGAAAUUUUGCUCACAUUUCCAUAAAUUUGCCUAUUACGAUUGGUAGUUCGCGUUCGAACGACGAUUCAAACGAACGGAUACGUUUAUAUACUCGUUCACGUAUGUCGUCAUGCCAGAUUACGAUAGAAGCGCUACGAUCACGUAUGUCAUAAUACGAAAUACAGGCUUUUACGUGACGAGUGAUACGUUCACGGAUGUAACGAUUCGACCCCAGGUACAAUCUUUUAUAAGAGUGUACAGCUGCUGGCGUAUGCUGAUGAUAUGGAUAUCAUUGGCCUCAACACCCGCGCCGUUAGUCCUGCUUUCUCCACAGGUGCUAUUUUGGACUGAGUAGGCAAUUGAGAAGUAAAGUCCUCUCUCGACGAACAAAAACCAAACACUAUAAGUCACUCAUUAUUCCCGCCCUGCUAUAUGGUGCAGAGGCAUGGACGAUAACGACAUCUGAUGAGUUGACGUUACGAGUUUUCGAGAGAAAGGUUCUGCGAAAGAUUUAUGGUCCUUUGCGCAUUGGUCACGGUGAAUAUCGCAUUCGAUGGAACGAUGAGCUGUAUGAGAUAUACGACGACAUUGACAUAGUUCAGCGAAUUAAAAGACAGCGGCUACGCUUGCUAGGUCAUGUUGUCCGAAUGGACGAAAAAACUCCAGCUCUGAAAGUGUUCGACGCAGUAUCCGUCGGGGGAAGCAGGGGAAGAGGAAGACCUCCACUGCGUUGGAAAAACCAGGUGGAGAAGGACCUGCUUUCGUUUGGAAUCUCCAAUUGGCGUCAUGUUGCGAAAAGAAAAACGAUUGGCGAUUGAUUGAUCUGAAGUUGAAUUGUUUUAAUUUCAAUUCAACUGAGUGGAGUUGAAGACUGUAAUACAUGCACGUAUGCAGGAAUAAAAUGUAUUCGGAUAUAAGUGCUAAUAUUCUCUGGUGAUAGAUUGGUUUGAAGUAUUUGCAGGCAUUGUCUAUAAGAGAGCAGUACCCCAGAUUAUAAUUAAAAAAAAAUGUUUUGCUAGCUCUCGAGUAGAGUAUUUUGGAAAUCAUGAUCAUGGAUAACUUUAAAUGAAAUUUUUAAAGCUUUUCUAGAAAAAAAUUUCCAUAGGCCGUCAGUUUUCUUAUUUAAAAAAGCGUUAUCUAUUAAUAAAACUAUUUUUUUAUGAUUACCCCAUGGAGUUUCGGUUGAAAUUGAAUCAACACUAAUAGCCAUUACUUUAAAUACUAUAAUUAUUUUUAAAUUUAUGUCUAGUUGAAACCUAAUUUAAUGAUGUUGUGUUUUUACAUUUAUAAACUAAAAUAAUUUACUUAGAAGAAACAUAUAAAAUUGUAAUGGUUCAUGUCUCGUACACCUCAAUCGCUUUAUACCAUUGUACAUUUCAUGUAAAUAGUUUCCAAUCAUAAAUACUUUCUUAAGCUCUUUCGAGGUUUGUUAAAAGUGUAUUUUCCCAUUGCAGAAUUUAUAAAGCAGUUCCACAAUUUGACUUACGUUGAUUAAAUAAGUGAUCUAACAUAAGCAUUAACCGGAUACAUACAAAGAAUUUCAGAAAUAAAAAAGCUUUUGAACAGCUACA